rnacentral:rRNA from 1 species
UGGGUUGUUUAGGGCAAAGAUGUAUGUAGUAUAGUUUUACUAAAUUUAUUGUAAGGAGUUACUCCGGAGUUAACAGAAAUUUACGUUUUUUCUAGAUGUUAUGGAAAGAAGGAUUUUACAUCGAUGUUGUAUUUUAGUUGGGCGGAGGAGUAGUAAUUUUGUUUUUUGAGACUGUUCUUCUUUUAGGAAACUAAACGUGAUAUUAGUUUAAUUCAU